UACGAAGGGAGCUAGCGUUGUUCGGAAUUACUGGCGUAAAGCGCACUAGGCGGCGAUUCAAGUCAGAGGUGAAAGCCCGGGGCUCAACCCCGGAACUGCCUUUGAAACUAGAUUGCUAGAAUCCUGGAGAGGUGAGUGGAAUUCCGAGUGUAGAGGUGAAAUUCGUAGAUAUUCGGAAGAACACCAGUGGCGAAGGCGACUCACUGGACAGGUAGUGACGCUGAGGUG
rnacentral:rRNA from 1 species